rnacentral:lncRNA from 1 species
AGGAGGGAUGGUUACUGAGCGGCAUGGCAGCGCCUGCCGCAAGAGUGGACUGCAGUCUAGGGAAGGGGCCAGCUGAAAAGAUGUAACUAACAGGCAGGCAGUUAAAUAGCGUGGAUCUGAAUGAGACCAGCGUGGUCGUUGGCGGCGUGGUGGAAUUAGCCUCGAGAGCUCUGUUAGAGCCUAGCAUGGCCAUCUUCUGAAAGGCCCAACAAGCAGCCGACUGAGGCAGACACAGAUACACCCUACCAAUGGACUGAAGUCUGGGAUCCCUGUGGUUGAAUUAGGGAAAGGCUGGAAGAAGCUGAGGAGGAGCGUGAGCCCAGGAGGGAGACCAGUAGUCUCAACUAACCUGGACCCCUGAGAUCUACAGCAGAAGACUGCCUGUUCUGGCCUCAGUGAGAGAAGAAGCAUCUAACCCUUGAGAGCAAGAGACUUGAGGCCCCCAGGGAAUGGGGAGACCAGGUGGAGUGGGGUUGGGUGGGGGGCAUCUUCUUGGAGACGGGGGAGAGGAGGAAUGGGAUGAGGAACUGUGGGAGAGCAGACUGGGACUGUGUAAUGACUGGAAUGUAAAUAAAUAAAAGUAAUUUAGAAAAUGGACAACUAAAUAA